rnacentral:lncRNA from 1 species
GGUGGCAUUAUCUUCUUAUUAAGUUAUUUAACUAUUAACUAUUAACUUUUGUUUUUAUUUAAGUUCAGGAACUUUGCAGAUCUCUUAUUAACUCUUCAGUUAAUAAUGAGAGUCCUAUGGCUAUUGAUAUCUAACAUCCUGGCUUCACUCACAUGGAUGAGCCCCACCUGGAAUGCCUAGAAGACGUGGGACAGCUGGAUCUCUCUCCACACGGUUUUUCAUUGUUGCCUCAGGUUCCAAUAAAAGCAAAAGCUGCAAGGUCUUCUGAGGCAAAGACUUAGAAAUACCACAAUGUUACUUCUGCUGCAUUCUGUUGAUAAAAGAAUCCCACAAUGCCAGCUUCAUUUAAAGGGGUAAAGAUAUAGAUUAUUCACCUUCGAUGGGAGGAACUGCAAAUGAUGUAAUUAGUGAUAAUUUUUAAUAUACUGUAAUGUAUUGACUUAUCUUUAAAAAAUGAAAAAAUAAACCAAAAACUAAAAGCAAAACAAAACUAUAAUAGAAAACAA